AGGACGAACGCUGGCGGCGCGCUUAACACAUGCAAGUCGAGCGAGAACCGGUCCUUCGGGACCGGGGAAAGCGGCGAACGGGUGAGUAACACGUGGGUAAUCAACCCUCGGUACCGGGAUAGCCCGAGGAAACUCGGAUUAAUACCGGAUGGCCCAACAGCCUUUCGGGGCGGUUGGAAAAGGUAGCUUCGGCCUCCGACCGAGGACGAGCCCGCGGCGGAUUAGCUUGUUGGUGGGGUAACGGCCCACCAAGGCGACGAUCCGUAGCUGGUCUGAGAGGACGAUCAGCCACACUGGGACUGAGACACGGCCCAGACUCCUACGGGAGGCAGCAGUGGGGAAUCUUGCACAAUGGGCGAAAGCCUGAUGCAGCGACGCCGCGUGAGGGAAGAAGGCUUUCGGGUUGUAAACCUCUUUCAGGAGGGACGAAGCUACUCGGGUUAAUAGCCCAGAGGGUGACGGUACCUCCAGAAGAAGCCCCGGCUAACUACGUGCCAGCAGCC
rnacentral:rRNA from 1 species